rnacentral:lncRNA from 1 species
GUCACCAGGGUGUCACCGGGGCUCAGGAAGUGUCCCCAGGGUGUCCCCAGGGUGUCACCGGGGCUCAGGAAGUGUCCCCAGGGUGUCCCCGCGCUGUCCCCGGGGUGUCCCAGGGCUCAGGGAGGUGUCCCCAGGGUGUCCCCAGGGUGUCACGGAGCUCACGGAGGUGUCCCCGUGCUGUCCCGGGGCUCGGGGAGGUGUCCCCAGGCUGUCCCCAGGGUGUCCCGGGGCUCAGGGAAGUGUCCCCAGGGUGUCCCCAGGGUGUCCCCGCGGUGUCCCCAGGGUGUCCCCAGGGUGUCCCCAGGGUGUCCCCAGUGUCCCCACGUGUCCCCAAGGCCAGGACAAUGCAGGAUCUGUGUCCCCACGAGUGGGAUUGGGAAUGGGGUGAGCUCCUUGUCCCCGUGGUGUCCCCCCAUGUCCCCCCGGUGUCCCCAGGGUGUCCCCAGUGUCCCCAGAGUGUCCCCAAGGCCGGGACAAUGCAGGAUCUGUGUCCCCACGAGUGGGAUUGGGAAUGGGGUGGGAUCUCAGCGGGACAAGGAGCUCCAUUGAGGCAGCGCCCCACGGGGGUGGGUGACAGGUGACAUCUCGCUGCCACCCCUGCUGCCACCCCCCCCUCGGGCUUCCUCAACCCCGUGGGAAUUCCAUGAUUCAGCCAAUUCUGGAAGGAAAAAUUCCCCAAAACGCCGAAACCUUCCCGGUUUUCCCGGUGGGAACGGGAUUUUUCCGGGUCUGGAUGAAUUCUUCUGGAAUAAAGCAGCUGUGAUCCUCCA